rnacentral:rRNA from 1 species
CGAUGCCUAAUACAUGCAAGUCGAGCGAACAGAGAAGGAGCUUGCUCCUUUGACGUUAGCGGCGGACGGGUGAGUAACACGUGGGCAACCUACCUUAUAGUUUGGGAUAACUCCGGGAAACCGGGGCUAAUACCGAAUAAUCUAUUUUACUUCAUGGUGAAAUACUGAAAGACGGUUUCGGCUGUCGCUAUAAGAUGGGCCCGCGGCGCAUUAGCUAGUUGGUGAGGUAACGGCUCACCAAGGCGACGAUGCGUAGCCGACCUGAGAGGGUGAUCGGCCACACUGGGACUGAGACACGGCCCAGACUCCUACGGGAAGCAGCAGUAGGGAAUCUUCCACAAUGGGCGAAAGCCUGAUGGAGCAACGCCGCGUGAGUGAAGAAGGUUUUCGGAUCGUAAAACUCUGUUGUAAGGGAAGAACAAGUACAGUAGUAACUGGCUGUACCUUGACGGUACCUUAUUAGAAAGCCACGGCUAACUACGUGCCAGCAGCCGCGGUAAUACGUAGUGUAGGCAAGCGUUAUCCGGAAUUAUUGGGCG